ensembl:lncRNA
CAAAAAAAAGCGAUGUUCUUUAGAUUAGACUAGAAAUUGUAUGGGUAGGUCUGAAUUGGCUUUUUAUUGACAGUAUUACCCUAGGAAUCCAGAUUUGGCUCAAGUAAAUACCUGUUAGAUAAGACUAAAAGAGUCCUUGAAGUUGACUGGGAAUCUCAAAACAGAUAAAUGAAUUAAGUGUGAGGCCAAGAGAGCACAUCAACUCAACUAAGGUUGUGUUAUGAUCAGGCUUGCUGUACCCCUCUGACUGGUCAAGCUGCAAAAGGUCAAGCAACCCCAAAGGAUCAUCCAACAUCAUUUUUUAGGUCAAAGAUAAUACACACAUCUGGGAAAGGGAAGAUACCAGGAGAGAAAUGAUAAUGACAGCAUUCUAUUCUCUUUAGCAGCUGCCUGGGUGGCUCGGAUGGUAAGGAUGCCUGCAAUGCAAGAGACCUGGGUUGGGAAGAUCCCCUGCAGGAGGGCAUGGCAACCCACUCUCAUAUUCCUGCCUGGAGAACCUCAUAUAAUACAGAGGAGUCUGGCGGACUAUAGUCCUUGGGGUUUCAAACAGUCGGACAUGACUGAACGACUAGCGCUUUCACUUUCACAUUCUCUUUAGAAUCUUGGAAGAUUCAAGGUUUUUUUUUUUUUUUUUUUUUAAUUCCUUUUACUGAUUUUAGUCAAGCAGAAACAGUUUGUGAGCCAGUCUGGUUAGGGAUGGCUUCCUACGUACAGUGAUUUGAGAGAGGGCUGGCCCAGGACUCUGCCUCCAAAGUAGCAGUGUCUGCAUUCUUCCCGUGGCAACAUCUUUCUAUUGGUUUUUGGCUCGUCUGCUUAGAUUGAGAGCACAGCUUCACAGAGAGAACACAACCCAUGGAUUCAAAGUCCCCUGAUGGUAGAAAACCUUAUAAUGCUUAUCUGAGGAAAUGAAGAAGCCAUCCUAUUAGUUGGGAAAUGUCAUGAACCAUUAAGAGAAGGACCUAAAAGUUUAAGAGAAGGUUGAAACUGCUUCAGGUCUGGAGAAUGAGCAGUGUUCUUUUCAGAGGAUGGCUUUUGGGAAACCACAUAUGAUAUGCUGUCUGUCUGAUAUGAGUCCAACCUAUUUUCCUUCUCUGCCACCUCCCUACCAUCUUCCUCUUUUGAUAACCUCGAUCUCAGUUAAGAGUACCACUGUGUUCUUUACCUUUAAACUUUAGAUUUCUAUUAUAUUACCCUCUUUCUCUGCCUGUGUUCUCUUGUAUAGCUCUCCUGUUCAGCUCUGCUCUUUGCAUUUCACAUCCAUUCUCUGCUUUUUUUCCGCAGCCUCAAGUCACUGGUUCCUGCCACCCCCAUACAGAAAUGCUGCCCCAGUUGCAUGUUUUCACACCAACUCCCCAUCCCAUGGCAGCCCUAUAAAAUAAGUUUUAACUCCUAUUUAGAUGAGGAAAAUGAAGCCAAAAUAGAUUGAAAACUUCCACAAGAUCACUCUAGUAGGAUUGAGUUCAGAGCAAAUCUAUUCUGUUUCAAAACCCACCAACCUUUUCACAAGGAUGCAAGGAUUCUACAGGUAAUAAUUUUUACUUAAUCCUAUUUACUAACCCAACACAGUGUAGUUUUUCAAACCAACUUUGAAGAUCUCAUGUGGUCCAUAGAAAAGAAAAACAGCCACAUUUAUGUGUUUGCAUAUCAAAAUUUUCUAAAGUCCUAAUGUUUUCCUUUCUCAUUGCAAAUAUCUCUUCCCUUUACAUCCUUGGAUAUUAGUUAAAAUGAUACCAGUUUAUUUCCUGAACACGAUUUGAUUUUCUUUCUCUAGUUCUUUUGUUCAUUUACCAAAACUCUCUGCAAGUAUCUUUUAGCAUUCAUGACCUGGUUCAGAAUCUGCCUCUUGGAAGAAGUCUUUAUAGAUCACUCUUGUGAAAUGAACUAACUUAACAGAGCUUUAUUAGUUGAUCAUCUGCUAAAUCUCUUAAGAAGUAUGCUUAACUCUGAACUCCUCAUAGGUAAGGGGCAAUUCACUCUUAUCUGUGAACCGUCUUCACAGCAGAGUCCAGCCAGCACGUCUUUGCAGGAACAUAAUAAAAACAGAGUUGUCUAAUCAAAUACUGCAAGUUUUAGUUCAACACAUGAUUUAUAUGGCUCUUUGGUUCAUUAUAUAUUUUCACACUUAGAUCAGUCUUUCUUUUUUCCCCCGAAAUAUUUAAGUUUAGAAAAUGCACUUAAAGGCCAGUUUGCUUUAAAGCCACUAAAGCAUAAGCUUCAUAUAUUCUCCUGCCUUUCCCACACAGUGCUCAUGCCACUGCCCUGAGGGAACCUAGUAAUGAGUUUUCAUGGUCAC